ensembl:lncRNA
CUACAAGUCAGUCCUGUCUCCUCGCGUAAUCUGAUAUGACCACAGCUGCUGCUGCCAGGGAAUGUUUCCCACGUCCCUCAGCUGUAGGGCUGCUCAAACUGCACCUGAGCAGCAAAUGUCUGAGUUCUCACCCAGUUACUUAGAGGAACCUAGAGGUUGUGAGAGCUUAGAUCUGUACAGUUACUCUGUGCGUGUCCCAGCUCCCUGAUGGGACUGAGAUGUCUGAAGUGGUUUCAGCUCGGUGGAAAUGAAGCGUGAAAACAUGAAAAUGAAAAACAAAAAGUGAAGCUCUUCUACAUCUGUGAAUGGUUACCUUCCGUGGUCCCCAGAGGAACUGCAAUCAAGCAGUUAUGGUGUGAAAGGUGAGGUACAUGAAAAUAGCAUACUGCGUUAGAAUAUGACUCUGAACCAAAUUCUGGCAGGGAGCUCUGACCCCCCUGAGAGCAAUGGACCUGCGUCAGUCCAAAGUGGUGAGGUGAAAAGGUAUUUGCGGACUUGAAAUGGAGAAAUCAGGACUGAAAGUUACCCCAGGAAAUGCAGAAGCGUGGGGUACAUAAUAAUUGUUGCAUUUAUAUAUUUAUCACACAGGUGAUCAUCAUUCUCAGGCUUAAAAUGGAAGUGGCAUGUGGGAAAGGAGCUGCACAGUAUCAUUCAAGCAUUUUCCCUGUUUUGGGGUAUAUUUCCCCUGAUUUGGGGUACAUACGACAACCUCGUGCAGCCCCUGGCAUGAGUGCUGCUGGCUGGCCCCCUGCAGCAGGAGCAUGAUGUUCGCAGCUCUGUGCCUUCAGGGUGGCUGUCACAAAGCAACUUUGAUUUUCUGAAAAUUGAGUCUGGAAUUUCUGAGAACUGUGUCCAGUGCAGUAAUAGGCCCAGGAAGCCUGUGCUUUCCUUUACUGUGGAGCUGGAGCUACUGGUUCGGGAUCAUGGUUAAAUAGACAGUCAUGGUGAACUGUGGGAGGCAAAAUCCUUCAGCCGGUCCUCCUGUACAAGUACAGGCCUGCAACAAAAUUUGCACAUUUUCAAGAGCUGAAAGGGGGAAAAAGAGAGGGAACUGCUGCUGAACUCAUUCCUUUCUGUUCUUUUCUGUGACUUCACUCAAUGUAUUUUCCAUGUAUUCAUUUUAAAUUGAGUUUCCCUGCAUACUCAAGAAGCAUGUGCCACCUUCUCAAAGCUGACAACUUUCAGCUCUCCUUUACCCACACAAAAGAGAAAGAUCUCAUCCUUGGUCCUUCCAUAAUGUAUCUGGAUGCUGAGCCCUGCUGGCCCUUGGCUGAAGCUCUGUGCGUAGAAAACACUGGCGCUAGUAAACAUCAGCUACUGCCUCUCCAGAGUCUUUACUUUUGUUUCUAUCAAAACAGACAGCAAGGCAUCUAUCUCACAUGCAUACUUAAAAUGGAAGAUGGAAAAAUAUUAAUGUUUCAUUGUCUUCAUGUUUAAAAGUGAAACCUUUUAAAGUGUCUCUUCAGCAAGGAUAAGAGAUGUUUUUCUUAACCGCCUAGCAACAAGCUAUAGCUGCAAUUAUUUAUAUCGAGCAUGAAAUUCCCUCAGUGCUUCAUUUAUUCAAAGCUAUAUUUUUACCAGGUUUUUGUUUUCACAGAUGGCUAAGCCAGGACGCUGUCUUUGGCUUAAAUAUCUACACAAACUUUGGCAGUCCCCACCAACAAAUAAAAAUAGAUUAAAAAUAAGUCAACACAAAAAACUUGCAGUUAAACAUGCAAAGACCACUAAAGAGCACAGCGAUAUUUUAAACUAAUUUAAAACUAUGAUUAUCUACUAAGAAAUUUAAUGCAGUUCUGUCACUGCAACAUGCUAUUAAAUAAGCAUUUAUGGGAACUACCAGUUGUCAAAUGACAAUUGUAAGCCGGAUUUUUUUAUCACUUUACAAAAGACACAAGUUCAUAAUUUGAUUCUGACACUUGUUCCGAGUGCUUUGCUCGAGGAAAGUUUGUUAUUAUUGUUUAAGAAAAGAAAGUUGGGUACUUGCAACAAAAAUGUGCACACUCAAACUAUCUGAUUGCCAUGUUUUUUUCUUCCUGCUUCCUCAUGGUGAAAAGGGAUGGUUUGCCAAUGUUGUAAUUUUUCACUUAGUUCAGAAAAGGCACCCAGUGCUGCUCUCAGUAGACCUGUCUGGGUAUACAUGGGGAGAAAAUUCUGCCCUUGGGGCACAGAAAUCACCCACUUCAGUAUCUUUUGCAGUCCCACAAGUGUUCUGAGCCCAGGCAUUACGACACCAAGGCAUCUGCCCUGGAAACAAGAGCCUUUGUAUUCAGACCAAAUUAGAAUCCAUUCAUUUUUCACAGCAUUUGCUGUUUGAAAUGGUAAUUCUGAAAGUAAGUAAAAGUCCCAGCUAUUUCAAAGAAUGAAUUUGGGUGCAAUAUUAUUUUGUGCUUGGGAACCAUAAUUAAAUUGAUUGCUCCCUUCCCUCUGGAACAAGUAUUGCAUUCCGAAGAGUCUAUGGUCUCCAUUUGCUUCAACAGUAAUGUGUUUUCCUACUAUUUUCUAAACAGUAUGUAGUGUUUUGAUGUAGAUGCCUUUUUUUCAUUGGACUUACUCAGCUUUCUACCAAAAUAUUCUGGGUUGGUUUUUUUGUUUGUUUGUUUGUUUGUUUGUUUUUUGAGAGCAAUGCAGAAGCAGGAUGGAUUUGCCAAGUCCUCGGAGACCACAAAGUCUGUAGACCAGAAGGACAAGGAAGCCAAGGAACAAAUUUUGGGACAGCUAUGAGAAAACAAUGUGAGACAAGAUAACCAGAAAUAAAGAUCACCUAAGCAAAGCACAGAGGAAAAGUUUUUAGCAAAAUGAAAACUCCUUUGGAUAUUGGCAAAUGCAGUUUAAAAAGCAUGAAGAAGAAAUACUACGCUUACAGCAGGACUUCACGAUAUAAUCCCAUAAUGUUCUUGCAUUGGCCUGCAGAGGACAGAAGCAGUGAAUAUCACUCAUCAGAAAUUCCUGCCAAGCUACAUACCUGACACCCAUGAAGAGAAUCAUCAUAAAAGGUUCCUCAUGACCUGCCUCUCCCUCCUGGACUUGCUCUGUGCUCUACCUGCUUGCUGCCUAAGGAUGGCCCCUCUGCUGCUGCUCUCCCCCCCGCCCCGAAGAGGUGUCUGCCAUCAGAUCCAUCACUACGAAAGGCCUGCAUGCUGACGGACUCUCCAGGGCCUGCUACAGGAGACCUGCUGCUUCUGCCCGGACAUCUUCCUGGACCUACUCAAUACCUGCACCUUCUCGCUGCCCAAAACCGACCACACUGCUGCUGCUCUUCCCCUGCGCUUUUGCCCCAGACCAUCGGAACAUCAUGCAAUGGGGCUACUGCUGGAUCCUGGUGGUGACUAUCCCCGCUUUACGCCAUUCUUGCUUCUUCCUAUCUUUUCUAUCGCUCACCUUCCCUUCCCCAUCACCCCAGUCUGUAACAGUGUCCGUCCUCCCCUUCCCCAUCUCCCUUAUUAAGAUUUGUAAUAAACUGGCCGGACC